rnacentral:rRNA from 1 species
AAUAGAUACCCGGUAGUCCACGCCGUAAACGAUGGAUACUAGCUGUCCGGCGCAAGCUGGGUGGCUAAGCGAAAGUGAUAAGUAUCCCACCUGGGGAGUACGUUCGCAAGAAUGAAACUCAAAGGAAUUGACGGGGGCCCGCACAAGCGGUGGAGCAUGUGGUUUAAUUCGAUGAUACGCGAGGAACCUUACCAGGGCUUAAAUGUAGUGGGACAGGUCCAGAGAUGGGCCCUUCUUCGGACUCAUUACAAGGUGCUGCAUGGUUGUCGUCAGCUCGUGCCGUGAGGUGUCAGGUUAAGUCCUAUAACAAGCGCAACCCCUGUCGUUAGUUGCCAGCGAGUGAAGUCGGGAACUCUAACGAGACUGCCGGUGCAAACCGUGAGGAAGGUGGGGAUGACGUCAAAUCAUCACGGCCCUUACGUCCUGGGCUACACACGUGCUACAAUGGCCGGUACAGAGAGCAGCCACGCCGCAAGGCGGAGCGAAUCUACAAAACCGGUCACAGUUCGGAUCGGGGUCUGCAACUCGACCCCGUG